UUCAAAAGAUUGUAAGGAUUCACUCUGUGGGUCUUUAUCAGUGUACAAAGGUAAAUUAAGAUAUUUGUAAAACAGUUCUGUCCCGUCCGUAUAUCACCGGACACUAUUUCUUAUGUUUUGUAAAACGCGAGAAUUGUUGCUGCUACCUGUGCGCUUUAAGUACAAAUCUAUAAUUAGCGCGUAUCGGUAAACGUACGUAUUCAUCGUUC